rnacentral:rRNA from 1 species
AGUCGAACGAUGAACCACUUCGGUGGGGAUUAGUGGCGAACGGGUGAGUAACACGUGGGCAAUCUGCCCUUCACUCUGGGACAAGCCCUGGAAACGGGGUCUAAUACCGGAUACAACACUCUCGGGCAUCCGAUGAGUGUGGAAAGCUCCGGCGGUGAAGGAUGAGCCCGCGGCCUAUCAGCUUGUUGGUGAGGUAACGGCUCACCAAGGCGACGACGGGUAGCCGGCCUGAGAGGGCGACCGGCCACACUGGGACUGAGACACGGCCCAGACUCCUACGGGAGGCAGCAGUGGGGAAUAUUGCACAAUGGGCGAAAGCCUGAUGCAGCGACGCCGCGUGAGGGAUGACGGCCUUCGGGUUGUAAACCUCUUUCAGCAGGGAAGAAGCGAAAGUGACGGUACCUGCAGAAGAAGCGCCGGCUAACUACGUGCCAGCAGCCGCGGUAAUACGUAGGGCGCGAGCGUUGUCCGGAAUUAUUGGGCGUAAAGAGCUCGUAGGCGGUCUGUCGCGUCGGAUGUGAAAGCCCGGGGCUUAACCCCGGGUCUGCAUUCGAUACGGGCAGACUAGAGUGUGGUAGGGGAGAUCGGAAUUCCUGGUGUAGCGGUGAAAUGCGCAGAUAUCAGGAGGAACACCGGUGGCGAAGGCGGAUCUCUGGGCCAUUACUGACGCUGAGGAGCGAAAGCGUGGGGAGCGAACAGGAUUAGAUACCCUGGUAGUCCACGCCGUAAACGGUGGGAACUAGGUGUUGGCGACAUUCCACGUCGUCGGUGCCGCAGCUAACGCAUUAAGUUCCCCGCCUGGGGAGUACG